rnacentral:rRNA from 1 species
UAGGCCUAACACAUGCAAGUCGAACGGCAGCACAGGAGAGCUUGCUCUCUGGGUGGCGAGUGGCGGACGGGUGAGGAAUACAUCGGAAUCUACCUUUUCGUGGGGGAUAACGUAGGGAAACUUACGCUAAUACCGCAUAAGACCUUCGGGUGAAAGCCGGGGACCUUCGGGCCUGGCGCGGAUAGAUGAGCCGAUGUCGGAUUAGCUUGUUGGCGGGGUAAAAGCCCACCAAGGCGACGAUCCGUAGCUGGUCUGAGAGGAUGAUCAGCCACACUGGAACUGAGACACGGUCCAGACUCCUACGGGAGGCAGCAGUGGGGAAUAUUGGACAAUGGGCGCAAGCCUGAUCCAGCCAUACCGCGUGGGUGAAGAAGGCCUUCGGGUUGUAAAGCCCUUUUGUUGGGAAAGAAAUCCUGCCGGUUAAUAACCAGUAGGGAUGACGGUACCCAAAGAAUAAGCACCG